UGGCUUCACUGGUGGAACAGGGGUGGAAGGUGGCUUCACAGGAGGAGAUGGAGUGUAAGGAGCUUUAGCAGGCGGGGGAGAAGACGGUGGCUUCACCGGUGGAGAAGGAGUAUAAGGAGGUGGUGGAAGCUUAACUGGAGGAGCAGGGGUGUAUGGUGCUUUAACUGGCGGUGGUGUCAAAACAGGGAUUGUGGGUGGCUUAACAGGCGGAGCUGGAGGUGGCGUCAAAACAGGGAUUGUUGGUGGCUUCACAGGCGAAGCUGGCGGUGGGGUCAAAACAGGGAUUGUUGGUGGCUUCACUGGCGGCGCUUUGUAAACUGGAGUAGAAGGAGCUUGAACUGGAACUGGAACAUGGGGGUAAACAGCAUCCUGUAAUGUAAAACCAAAUACCAAGCAACAUUCACUUCUCUUCACUAUGUUACCAAAAGACAUUACAAAAAUGUGGUUAAAAAUGUUUAAACAACAGAACAAAACACUAAAUAAUGACAACAAAAGAAACAAAUCCCAGCUCACAAAUCACAUCUCAAAGCAAUCAAAAUAUAAAUCACCUUCUUUUGGGACAGUCCAUUGGCAUUGGCAUUGGCUGAAACCUGCAAAAGAAAAGCCAAGAACUCAGCCUCAAAUCAUGGAAUACAAAAUCCAAUCACUCUCAACACCCAAUACAUUACAAGAGAGAAUGAGCAAUACCCAUGAGCCAGAUAGAAGAAGCACGCUAAAGACAAAGAGAUUGGCCAUUAAGGCCAUUUGUCAAACAGGUGUGGUGGGAAAGGCAACUCAGACCAAAGAAAGGAAGAGGAGACCCUGAAUCCUGAUUGAUUACAACUUGAAGAAGCCACACAGACGUUUAAAUAGAGGCAGAAAUGAGAAAGUGGGAAGGUUCAAAUUUCAAGAAUAUGGGUUUUUGGUAAAUUGAAAAGGCAAAUUAAAAUGUAGGUGCCUAGAUGGAUGGAUGGAUGCCAGUUCAGAUCAAGGUGAAAAAAAAAAAUAUAUAUUAUAUAAUAUAUUUUUUUUUUUAAUUUCGUUUUGGGGUUAGCAAAAUUUUAGACCCACAUGAUGAAUAAGAGUGUCUGCAGGUACAGGCAUACUAACUAGGAAAUACUGAUCUUCUUAGGAGUGUCCUUUGCAAUUAUUUACUACCUUUCUCCACGAGCUCUUGUCUUCUUUCUCUGCCCCUCUUUGCGUUUGGUUGGGUUUUGGGAGUCUUUUUAGAUUUUUACCACUAAUACUACACUACUUGUUAAUCUUGACAUUGGAAGGAUGGAAAUAGAGUAAUGGACUGUUGUUAACUAGAGGAUCAGUGUGUUCAAUAUAGAGAGAUGGUUAUAUCUCUCUUUUUUAAGGUGGCAAGAAUUUAGGAGAUUGAGCAAAUAGUAGCGUUGAAUUGAUGGCUUCGUUUCCACAUCUUUGAAUGAACCCUUUAGCUGAAGAAGUAGGAAUGCAUGUUGAGAAGAUUUGUUUGGAUGGAUGGGAUAAUAUUGGAGUAAGAAGGUUAAGGUAAGUAAAAUGAUGUAAAUGAUUUGAAUGAGUUUGGGGAAGCUUUUUCUAGAGGUUUCAAGAUUGUCAGAGUACUUGAGUACUUUUUAACCUUUGUAUAGUAUCAAAUGAGAUAAUAGGCAAUAUAUAUUAUUAGUUAUUAUUGCAAAAGCUGUCACCAGUUAAUAAAAUAUUUACCACUUCAUUUAUAUAUUAUCUAUGAAAUUUAAUAUUUAUGUAAUAUGUCCAUUGACUUUAAUAAUUAUGAUACAUUCAGUGAAAAGUCCAAAAACAGCUUAUUAAACACAAAGCUUUUCUUCUUCUUUUUUUUCUUUUGAGGUAACUUAUUGAAGAUUUAAUAUAUUUAUAUGAAAGUUGAAAAGGUUUUGAGUAAUCAUAUUCCUCCAAUGAUUUGUUUAGGUAAGUUAUUGAUGU
rnacentral:lncRNA from 1 species